rnacentral:rRNA from 1 species
GAAAAGAAACUAACAAGGAUUCCCCCAGUAACGGCGAGUGAAGAGGGAAAAGCCCAAAUUUGUAAUCUGGCUCUUUUAGAGUCCGAGUUGUAAUUUUGAGAACUGUUUUCUGUGCUGGACCAUGUUUAAGUCUGUUGAAAAACAGCAUCAUUGAGGGUGAUAAUCCCGUUCAUGAUAUGGACUACCAGUGCUAUAUGAUACAGUCUCUAAGAGUCGAGUUGUUUGGGAAUGCAGCUCAAAGUGGGUGGUAAAUUCCAUCUAAGGCUAAAUAUAGGUGAGAGACCGAUAGCAAACAAGUACCGUGAGGGAAAGAUGAAAAGAACUUUGGAAAGAGAGUUAACAGUACGUGAAAUUGCUGAAAGGGAAACAAUUGAAGUUAGCCUUGUUAUUUCCAGUUCAACCCUUUUAGGGUGUAUUCUGGUAAUUAACGACCAACAUCAGUCUUUGAGUGCUGGAUAAGGGUUUUGGAAAUGUAGCAGUCUAGGCUGUGUUAUAGUCCAUUACUUUGAUACAGUGCUUAGGAUUGAGGAUCGCAGUAAGCCAAUCUUGGUGGAUCAAUUUAUUGAUCUUCUUACUG